rnacentral:rRNA from 2 species
UUGUAAGUGUUUAAGGGCGCAUGGUGGAUGCCUUGGCAUCAGGAGCCGAUGAAGGACGUGGGAGGCCGCGAUAGGCCUCGGGGAGCUGUCAGCCGAGCUGUGAUCCGAGGGUGUCCGAAUGGGGAAACCCAGCACGAGUGAUGUCGUGUUACCUGCCGUUGAAUGUAUAGACGGUGUGGAGGGAACGCGGGGAAGUGAAACAUCUCAGUACCUGCAGGAAGAGAAAACAAUUGAGUGAUUCCGUGAGUAGUGGCGAGCGAAAGCGGAUGGUGGCUAAACCUUGUGCGUGUGAUACCCGGCGGGGGUUGCGUAUGAGGGGUUGUGGGGCAGUGUUGUUCUGUUACCGCCGUGACAGUCAGAUCCAGUGUGUGUGUUAGCGGAAGCCGCUUGGGAUGGUGUGCCGGAGAGGGUGAGAGUCCCGUACGCGAAAAUGUAUGCCUGGUCUGUGACGUUGUACCCGAGUAGCAGCGGGCCCGUGAAAUCUGCUGUGAAUCUGCCGGGACCACCCGGUAAGCCUGAAUACUCCCUGAUGACCGAUAGUGGAUAAGUACCGUGAGGGAAUGGUGAAAAGUACCCCGGGAGGGGAGUGAAAUAGUACCUGAAACCAUGCGCUUACAAUCCGUCAGAGCCUUCCCUUUUGGGGUGGGGUGAUGGCGUGCCUUUUGAAGAAUGAGCCUGCGAGUUAGUGGCAUGUCGCGAGGUUAACCCGUGAGGGGCAGCCGUAGCGAAAGCGAGUCUGAAUAGGGCGUCGCAGUGGCAUGUUCUAGGCCCGAAGCGGAGUGAUCUACCCAUGGCCAGGGUGAAGCGUCGGUAAGACGUCGUGGAGGCCCGAACCCACUUAGGUUGAAAACUGAGGGGAUGAGUUGUGGGUAGGGGUGAAAGGCCAAUCAAACUCCGUGAUAGCUGGUUCUCCCCGAAAUGCAUUUAGGUGCAGCGUCACGUGUUUCUUGCCGGAGGUAGAGCUACUGGAUGGCCGAUGGGCCUCACCAGGUUACUGACGUCAGCCAAACUCCGAAUGCCGGUAAGUGAGAGCGUGGCAGUGAGACUGCGGGCGAUAAGGUUCGCUGGUCGAGAGGGAAACAGCCCAGAUCGCCGGCUAAGGCCCCUAAGCGUGUGCUAAGUGGAAAAGGAUGUGGGACCGCUCAGACAGCCAGGAGGUUGGCUUAGAAGCAGCCACCCUUGAAAGAGUGCGUAAUAGCUCACUGGUCUAGUGGUCCUGCGCCGAUAAUGUAGCGGGGCUCAAGCACACCGCCGAAGCCGCGGCACUCCAGCAUGUCAUCCGCAUACCCCUUUUUGGGGUGUGUGCAGUGGCUGGGGUGGGUAGGGGAGCGUCCUGCAUCCAGGGAAGCAGCCGUGUGAACGAGUUGUGGAGGGUGUGGGAGUGAGAAUGCAGGCAUGAGUAGCGAAAGCAGAGUGAGAAACUCUGCCGCCGGAUGACCAAGGGUUCCUGGGGCAGGUUAAUCCGCCCAGGGUGAGUCGGGACCUAAGGCGAGGCCGACAGGCGUAGUCGAUGGAUAACGGGUUGAUAUUCCCGUACCCGUGUGGGCGCGUCCGUGGUGAAUCGGUGAUACUAACCACCCAGAAGCCCUCUGUCCCGCUUCGGCGGGUGUGAGGGUGGAUGCGUGGGACCUGAUCCGGUAGUAGCCAAGCGAUGGGGUGACGCAGGAAGGUAGUGGGGCCAGUCAGUGGUAAUACUGGUGUAAACCUGUAGCCCGGUGGAUAGGUAAAUCCGUCUGCCAUUGAAGGGUGAGAGGUGAUGCGACCCCGUUGAGGGGGAUUCCAUGAUCCUAUGCUGCCGAGAAAAGCCUCUAGCGAGUUCCCGCAUGGCCCGUACCCCAAACCGACACAGGUGGUCAGGUAGAGAAUACUAAGGCGCUCGAGUUAACUGUGGUUAAGGAACUCGGCAAAAUGCCCCCGUAACUUCGGGAGAAGGGGGACCACGCCCGGUGAGCCACCAUUGCGUGGGGAGCUGGGGGUGGUCGCAGAGACCAGAGAGAAGCGACUGUUUACUAAAAACACAGGUCCGUGCGAAGCCGCAAGGCGAGGUAUACGGACUGACGCCUGCCCGGUGCUGGAAGGUUAAGAGGACCGGUUAGCCCGUAAGGGCGAAGCUGAGAAUUUAAGCCCCAGUAAACGGCGGUGGUAACUAUAACCAUCCUAAGGUAGCGAAAUUCCUUGUCGGGUAAGUUCCGACCUGCACGAAUGGCGUAACGACUUCUCUGCUGUCUCAACCACAGGCUCGGUGAAAUUGCAUUACGAGUAAAGAUGCUCGUUACGCGCGGCAGGACGAAAAGACCCCGGGACCUUUACUGCAGCUUGGUAUUGGUGUCUGGUUCGGUUUGUGUAGGAUAGGUGGGAGACUGUGAAACCCUCACGCCAGUGGGGGCGGAGUCGUUGUUGAAAUACCACUCUGACCGGAUUGGGCAUCUAACCUCGGACCCUGAACGGGUUCAGGGACAGUGCCUGGUGGGUAGUUUAACUGGGGCGGUUGCCUCCUAAAAAGUAACGGAGGCGCCCAAAGGUUCCCUCAGCCUGGUUGGCAAUCAGGUGUUGAGUGCAAGUGCACAAGGGAGCUUGACUGUGAGACGUACAUGUCGAGCAGGGACGAAAGUCGGGACUAGUGAUCCGGCACCCCCGAGUGGAAGGGGUGUCGCUCAACGGAUAAAAGGUACCCCGGGGAUAACAGGCUGAUCUUCCCCAAGAGUCCAUAUCGACGGGAUGGUUUGGCACCUCGAUGUCGGCUCGUCGCAUCCUGGGGCUGGAGUAGGUCCCAAGGGUUGGGCUGUUCGCCCAUUAAAGCGGCACGCGAGCUGGGUUUAGAACGUCGUGAGACAGUUCGGUCUCUAUCCGCCGCGCGCGUUAAGAAACUUGAGGAAACCUGUCCCUAGUACGAGAGGACCGGGACGGACGGACCUCUGGUAUGCCAGUUGUCCCACCAGGGGCACGGCUGGUUAGCCACGUCCGGAAGGGAUAACCGCUGAAAGCAUCUAAGCGGGAAGCCCGUUCCAAGAUGAGGUUUCUCACCAACACGAUUGGGUAAGGCCCCCCACAGACCAUGGGGUUGAUAGGCCAGAACUGGAAGCACGGCAACGUGUGCAGGUGACUGGUACUAACCGGCCGAGGACUUACACACAA